AGUGACGAUAGCCUAGGAGAUACACCUGUACCCAUGCCGAACACAGCAGUUAAGCCCUAGAACGCCUGAUGUAGUUGGGGG
rnacentral:rRNA from 1 species